GAUUUUUGCGUGUGUGCGUUGCUUGCGGCCUUUGUGCCUUUUUAUUCUUUGCUUACCUUUAUGAUAUAAAGACCUUAUUUCUUACAAGGAGGAAAAGACCGCUGACUUCAGAAACAGCGGGAACCCCAGCUCGUCCCCGGUAAUUCAAGAGGAAACGCUUGAGCAAUUACUGAUGUUGUAAACUGGGAUCAGAAGACAUACAUGGUAUCGUAUCCCAGGCAAGGCACAGUGGCUCACACCUGUAAUCCCAGCACUUUGGGAGGCUGAAGAAGGCAGAUCACUUGAGGUCAGGAGUUCGAGACCAGCCUGGCUUACAUGGUGAAACCCAUCUCUACUGAACAUACAAAAAUUAGCUGGACAUGAUGAUGACAAAAUUGGGGUCUGGACGUGUGCAAGGACUUUUCCAAAGUCAGCUGGAAAGGAGCUGCUUAGCUGAGAGGUUCUGGCUCCAGAGUCUCCUGUGAAGUUGCAGUCAAGAUGUCUGCUGGGACCCCAGUCAUUUGAAGCCCUGUCUGGGGCAGGAGAAUCUAGGUCCAAAAUGGCCGUUGCAGGAGUCCUUAUCCACACCAUGUGGGACCUCUUCAUAGAUGUUCGAGUGUCCUCAUGGCAUGGCCACUGGCUUUCCCCAAAGUAAGCAGUCCAAAAGAGGGUAAGACAGAGCCCACACUGUCUUUUAUGAAUUAGCCUUAGAAGUCUAACACGGUUACUUCCACCACAUUCAUUAGUCGUUAGGUACAGCUCACAUUCAUGGGGAGGAAAAUCAGGGCCUGUCUUUAGAUAGGAGAUGUAUCAAAGAAUUUGUGGACAUAUUUUAAAAUCACAGCACUACUCUUGAUGUACUAAGUCAGUGACUCCCCCAGGAGUCUCACAGAGAAUUGACUCCUUGCCCACCUAUACUACCUUUGUGGGUAGAGACUCCAGUAGUGUGCUGGUUAAUGUUCAACCAGUGGCUUUCUAGAAAACAAAAUGUAUGGAUACAUAUAUAUGUUCUAAGUUUUACUGAUAUGAAGAAUGUGUAGCACAGAAUUUAUAAAUAAUAAAAUAUACAGUAUUAUUUAUUGUAAAUUCCAUAAAACCUGUUGUUUUUCACAAAAGGUUUUAGUUUAUUUUUCCCAAAUGCUUGUAUUGGUAACAUUUUCUGUAUUACCUUUUUAUGUCCAGACAAUCAACAAAACUGAAAAAGCCCAGCCUUGUAGCAUUUGCCAGUUAUUGUGUAAAUGUCCCCACUAUGGUGGAUUUCAGGUUACCACUAUGAUAUCACAGAAUGCAGAAUUGGAAGGAGAUUCACAGCAGCACCCCAUUAUACUAUAUUUUCACCAUACAGAUGCAGUCGAUGUAAAUUACCUGAGGAGCAUAAAUAAUAAUAAAAUGAAGUUAAAUAAUUCGGAAAUGAUUUUGAAAAUUGUGUUGGUUUUUAAUGUAAGUUUAUAUGUCAGCUUUAAUAAAAUCUGUCUUUA
rnacentral:lncRNA from 1 species